GACGAACGCUGGCGGCGUGCCUAAUACAUGCAAGUAGAACGCUGAAGGAGGAGCUUGCUUCUCUGGAUGAGUUGCGAACGGGUGAGUAACGCGUAGGUAACCUGCCUGGUAGCGGGGGAUAACUAUUGGAAACGAUAGCUAAUACCGCAUAAGAGUAGAUGUUGCAUGACAUUUGCUUAAAAGGUGCAAUUGCAUCACUACCAGAUGGACCUGCGUUGUAUUAGCUAGUUGGUGGGGUAACGGCUUACCAAGGCGACGAUACAUAGCCGACCUGAGAGGGUGAUCGGCCACACUGGGACUGGGACACGGCCCAGACUCCUACGGGAGGCAGCAGUAGGGAAUCUUCGGCAAUGGACGGAAGUCUGAACGAGCAACGCCGCGUGAGUGAAGAAGGUUUUCGGAUCGUAAAGCUCUGUUGUAAGAGAAGAACGAGUGUGAGAGUGGAAAGUUCACACUGUGACGGUAUCUUACCAGAAAAGGACGGCUAACUACGU
rnacentral:rRNA from 1 species